UGUGUAGGCGGUUGUUUAAGUUUGGUGUGAAAUCUCCCGGCUCAACUGGGAGGGUGCGCCGAAUACUGAAUGACUAGAGUACGGGAGAGGAAAGUGGAAUUCCUGGUGUAGCGGUGAAAUGCGUAGAUAUCAGGAGGAACACCGGUGGUGUAGACGGCUUUCUGGACCGUAACUGACGCUGAGACACGAAAGCGUGGGUAGCAAACAGGAUUAGAUACCCUGGUAGUCCGCGCCCUAAACGAUGCAUAUUUGGUGUGGGCAGUUCAUUCUGUCCGUGCCGGAGCUAACGCGUUAAAUAUGCCGCCUGGGGAGUACAGUCGCAAGGCUGAA
rnacentral:rRNA from 1 species